rnacentral:rRNA from 1 species
CAGCCGCCACGGGAAUACGUAGGGUGCAAGCGUUAAUCGGAAUUACUGGGCGUAAAGCGUGCGCAGGCGGUUUGUUAAGACAGAUGUGAAAUCCCCGGGCUCAACCUGGGAACUGCAUUUGUGACUGGCAAGCUAGAGUCUGGCAGAGGGGGGUGGAAUUCCGCGUGUAGCAGUGAAAUGCGUAGAUAUGCGGAGGAACACCGAUGGCGAAGGCAGCCCCCUGGGCCAACACUGACGCUCAUGCACGAAAGCGUGGGGAGCAAACAGGAUUAGAGACCCCCGUAGUCCCUGUCUCUUAUAC